AAUAUAAAAAUACGGAAUCCGAAGAGUCACAGUGCCUUGUUCACAAUCAUUUAAAUUGUUUUAAUUUUGGAUUAGGUAAGUAGUAAGUACAUCCAUAUACCUUAAACAACGGAUAAACAAACAAAAUUAAGUUGCCAACGACCAAUGACAUGUUGAACAUUGAGAUAAACGAAAUAACUCAAUUGCUGAAGCAAUUAGGAAUCAGUGGACAGGAUGGACCGAUGAGCAGCCAAAAAACGAGGAAAGUUGUUGUGCAGGAAGUAGAUAUUAUCAUAGAUGGUAACUUACCGAUAAUCUUGAACAGUGAUCUGUUCACAAUGAAAACAAACUGCGAAGAAGAUAUUGCGGAUGAAGAGUACAAUGAACCGUACGAUCCUAGCCUACCUCUUUAUGAGCAGUUUACAACAAUCAAAGAAUUUGCUCCGCCAGUAGAAGACAAAAAAAUGCUCAUAUCAAGGAAUUAUAGUAAUUGUGAAACUCCGAGAUCAUUACAAAGUACCACAACAACGUCGGAAGCACACUCGCUUUCAACAUCGUACAGCGACGAGAGUUCUUCCUGUUCCAGCAACAUCAUCACGAUAACCUACAGCGAAGGCGAAGAAGAUUCAUAUGAAGAGAUGUUCGAGCCGCUGCUGAAGAUGAAACAAUCACUCUACACACCGCGGCAGCUUUACGAGCACAAGAAGCUGCAGGAAAAUUUCCAAAAGCAUUCAAUAUUAUCGCGCGCCAACCAAAAUUAACAUUAGCAACAUAGAAAUUCCAGUGAUGCCAGCGAGAAACCUCGUUUUGAUUUUAAGUCGUAUGCACAAUGGAUUGGGUAACUGGGACACUACUUAAGCGAUAUAGGCAAGGACCGAGUGGUACGAAUGACGUACGAUCCCAAGAUCUUUUCAUGCACCAUCAAUGUACAGUGCGCUAGCCGAUUUUGAGAGGAAAUAUCAUCCAAUCCAUUUGUUUACAUCACGAUUUUCAAAACUCAAAAUAAUGUACAUUUUAUUGCACAACUUGCAAAUUUCCAUUGGGAGUGGUGUUAUUUUUCGAGGUUUCAACGAGAAAAGGAAAGAGACAAUCGGCGAAGAGAAGCUUGUACGGUGAUUGGUAAUAAAAAAUUACCACAAAUUAUUAAAAUAAUUAGUGAAUUUUGAAUUACUCACUUA